CAUAUCACAUUGAAACACCGGUUCUUGUAUGAUCACCGAAAUUAAGCAACGUCAAACCUGGUCAGUACCUAGAUGGGUGACCACUUGGGAAUACCAGGUACUGUAAG